rnacentral:rRNA from 1 species
CCUACGGGUGGCUGCAGUGAGGAAUAUUGGUCAAUGGACGCAAGUCUGAACCAGCCAUGCCGCGUGCAGGAAGACGGCUCUAUGAGUUGUAAACUGCUUUUGUACGAGGGUAAACGCAGAUACGCGUAUCAGUUUGAAAGUAUCGUAAGAAUAAGGAUCGGCUAACUCCGUGCCAACAGCCGCGGUAAUACGGAGGAUUCAAGCGUUAUCCGGAUUUAUUGGGUUUAAAGGGGGCGUAGGCGGGUGGAUAAGUUAGAGGUGAAAGCUUGAGGCUCAACUUCGGAAUUGCCUUUGAUACUGGUCGUCUAGAGUGUAGUAGCGGUAGGCGGAAUGUGUGGUGUAGCGGUGAAAUGCUUAGAGAUCAUGCAGAACCCCGAUUGCGAAGGCAGCUUACUAGACU